UAAAUUUGAAUAUGUCGUUGAUUUGAGGCCGUUGUAUUUUGAAACGUUUAUUGUCGUGAUUUGUGCUGCCGAAAGGCUAAAACUUUAUUAGAAUCACUUUUCAAACUCUAUAAAUCGUAUUAUUUUUCGAUAAUAUAGUGUUAAGUGACAUGAUUUGACACCGAUGUCAGGCCUCACAAACUUAAAAUACUACUGAAAAAAAAAACCUGACAAUUGACAAACCCUGAACAUCCAGAAACCUGAAAUUUUAGGACAUGAGAGCCUUGCUGGGGUGCUAGAAGAGCAGAGGGGAUUUUUUAUUGUUAAAUACAUAAUUUGGCAAGAUGGUGGAAGGUGAUAGCAAGGGUACAAUAGACACAGUGCAAGUAGCACUCCGGAUCAGGCCAUUGAUGCAACUGGAGACAGAUCGAGGAUGUGACGAGUGUAUUGACGUGGUUGUGGGACAGCCCCAAGUCCAGAUCAAGGACUUGGCAUUCACAUACAACUAUGUUUUUCCUCAACACAUAACACAGCAAGAAUUUUAUGACACCGCAGUCAAAGGUCUUAUAGGAAAACUCUUUCAAGGGUACAAUGUAACAAUAUUAGCUUAUGGCCAGACCGGGUCUGGUAAGACCUACACAAUGGGAACAAACUAUUCUGGCUCUGAUGGAGACUCCACAAAACUUGGUGUAAUCCCCCAAGCAGUGGCAGACAUAUUUGAUUUCAUAGAAACACAUGAAGACAAAUUCAUAUUCAAGGUGAAUGUGUCCUUCAUGGAGUUGUAUCAGGAGCAGUGUUACGACCUCCUCUCUGGCAAGGAGAGAGGACACAGUAUUAUAGAAAUUAGGGAGGACAUUAAUAAAGGUGUUAUUUUACCAGGGAUAACAGAGUUGCCAGUUACUUCGACGAUGGAGACUAUGAUGGUGUUGGAGCGAGGAUCAUCAGGUCGAGUAACAGGUUCCACAGCCAUGAACCAGGCGUCAAGUAGGAGUCAUGCUGUCUUCACCAUUAUUAUAUGCAAAGAGAGCCGGAGUGACAAAAACUUGGCGACAACGUCAAAGUUCCAUCUUGUUGAUCUCGCGGGCUCUGAACGGAUUAAGAAGACGAAGGCCAGUGGUGAGCGUCUGAAGGAAGGCGUUAAGAUCAACCAGGGAUUGUUGGCGCUUGGCAACGUGAUAUCAGCACUCGGAGACGGAACUAACAGGAGCUUCAUCAGUUAUAGGGACAGCAAACUAACUAGGCUGUUGCAAGACAGUUUAGGAGGCAACUCAUUAACUUUGAUGGUGGCAUGCGUGAGUCCGGCGGACUACAACCUGGACGAGACCGUGUCCACGCUGCGCUACGCAGACCGCGCGCGCCGCAUACGCAACAAACCCAUCAUCAACCAAGACGCCAAGGCUGCCGAGAUCGUUAGGUUAAAUAACUUAGUGAACGAAUUAAGACUGCAAUUACUAGGCAAAAUGCCGACAGUCAGCGAACAAAACAACGAACAGCUUCAAGAGGAGCUAGAAAGAGAAAAAGCGAGAUACGCUGAGCUAUUGAAAAAGCACAAACAAGUCACUGAACACCUCAGCAACAUGUUAAUAGAAAACACAAAUCUAUGCGAGAAAGCUUUGCUCGCUGAAGCCGCAAAAGACAAGAUAGAACGGAAACUAAACGAGUUAACAGAACAGUGUAAUCAGACAAUAGAAAACCUGAAUACUACUGAAAAGGAUGAUGAUCAUCAGAAGACGACGGUUGUGGAUUAUCUAAAGGAGAUUAAGACGAGGCUGGAAGAUCUACAGUCUGUCAAUUUGAAGAGUAAUGAGGAAUUAAUAGAUCAUGAGAUUAAGUUGUCAUUUGUUAAUGAGAAUGAUCAUGAGAAGGGUGAUGACGAGGUGAUGUUGAAUGAGGAUCAGGCUGUCUUGGAGGAGGAGAAGAGGGCCAUGGGACAGGUGGCGCUUAACCAAGAGCUUCAAGAGCUCAACCGAGCUAUGGCGAUCAAGGCGUCUGUAGUCCAAGCUAUACUGGCCAGCAAUAAGGAUAUGCUGGAAGGUCACAAGAACCUACGAGAGAAUGAAGAAAGGAUCGCUCACUUGGAGAAGGAGAGGGAUGAGCUCUUGCAGCAGUUAAAACAGACUAAGAGCAAAGACCCGUCACACGAGGAGCGUCGCACUAAAGUCUCGAGCCUUGAGCACGAGAUAUCAGAUCUCAAGAAGACUUGCCAACAACAAGCACACAUCAUUAAGACUAAAGAGAAGAAUGAAGCCAAGAUUGCGUCCCUCAAUGCUGAGCUACAAGCCAUGAAAGUUACUAAGGUGAAAAUAAUAAAACAAAUGCGCGAGGAAAGCGAGAAGUUCCGCAAGUGGAAGGCGGACAACGAGCGCGCCAUGCUGCGCCUGCGCAACGAGGACCGCAAGCGAGCCACCGCCAUGGCCAAGAUGGAGUCUCUACACGCCAAGCAGCAGAACGUACUCAAGCGGAAGAUGGAGGAGGCUGUCGCCGUCAACAAGAGGCUCAAGGAAGCGUUAGAAAGACAGAAGCUCUCACAAAUGAAGCGAAACGCCAAAGGCAGCGUGAAAGCCGGCGCCGUCCAACAGUACAUUGAACAGGAGUUGGAAGUCCAUCUCAGUAUUGUAGAAGCUGAGAAGUCACUUGAAGAACUCAUGGAGUACAGAGCCUGGAUAACGGAACAGAUUGAGAAUCUCCGCAACAGCACGGAUGACGCAGCCAACAGGAAGAAGAUCGCGGAGCUCGAGGACGAUCUCGCUCUGCGUAAGGCGCAGAUAUCUGAUCUGCAGCAGAAGAUAUUGACGGCCGACCAAGAAAACAAAUCACGCACACAAUGGGACAACAUACAAUCAAUGUUAGAAGCCAAAGUAGCUCUCAAAUGUCUGUUCGAACUACUGGUCGACGCUAAACGAGAGCUGCAGAACCAGAGCGAGAAAGGCUUCCAGUCUCGGUACGAGGAGAUUAAGGAGGCUCACGAUAGACUCGCGAUGGACUUUGAGAAUAGUAAGGCUGAGUUCGAGAGGCAGUUGGCCUUAGUCAAGCUACAGAGUGAGCAAAAGUUAUCAGCACUAGUGGCACUCCAACGCGGCGUAGUAGGCAGAGGCGAUAAGAGCGAGGCCUGCAAACACCUGCAGAACGUGAUACAGUACCAGCAAGAGAGGCUGGAGCAGGUCGAGGAGGAAAACAAAAAGUUAGUAGAUGAGUUGGAACAACUGCGUUCAGCAGGCAAGAAGGCCAAGAAGCGACCAAAGAAGGAGACAGAGUCAGAAGUUCCUAAGAAGAUGGAGUAUGUGAUGAUGACUGAUGAAGAAGAAGAUGAGUUUGAGGAUAGAGAAAAGGAUCCGGACUGGAGGGCUACGCCAUUGUUCAAGCGGAUACAGGCGCAGCGCUCCCGCCUGACGAUGAACUUCACUCAGGCGGACGUGUCGGUGGCGGACACGUCGGCGCGCGCCCCCAAGCGCGGCAGCGACGGCGGCGCGCACUGCGCCUGCCGCGGGAGCUGCUCCACCAAGAUCUGCGGCUGCGUCAAGGCCGGCAAGGCCUGCGCGCCCACCUGCCGCUGCCAGCACGAGCUCUGCAAGAACAGGCGCGCCGGCGACGACAGCGACGACAAGGAGAACAAUCCGUCAUCAACAGAACUCUCAGCAUUGGACAGAACACCGCCCUCAUAUUUUGACAAACGAUUCGAAACGACAGCAGAAUUAAACGAAGCUUACUCUGAAAACAUACUCCCGGGCAGCACUACCCGUACGCCAGUACGUCGGACGCCGCGUCCGUUACGUCCAAUAGUUACGAAUACUACACAAAAGUGGAUGUUCGCUCUACUCGUGUAUAACACCUGUGUGGCCCCGAUGUCUACGUAUUGUGCGAAUAAUAUACUGCAGUAUGGCAUGGACGUUGCGAAGUACAAUGUCAUGUCUAACAUCUUCAAGUACCUGAUGAGAGAGAGGUCACCUUGAUGCAACAUACGUUAAAAAGAAGAAGAGCUAUUUUUUCCCACAUGAUCAGGGAAACACAGACCCUGAUGCAUUAAAGACUGUUUUGGAAAUAGAAAACGUAGCAAGUAACUAAUACAUUUUAUUUAACGAUAUAUUAUGAGAAAUUAAAGUGCCUCAAUAUGUUUAAUAUCUCUUGUCUAACUUUAUUGUAAUCUAAAUUAAGUGUACAAUGUAUUGACAUGUAAUUUAAAAAUAUUAUUUUACUUUUGGACGGGGUAAGACGCCGUUAAUUCUUGUACGGCGUGGACCUAGUCUGAUGAUACUUUUGUUCUAUAAAUUGUUGGAGUAGAUCUCCGAAUAAAUAUUUAUAGAAAAUU